rnacentral:rRNA from 1 species
AACUAACGCUGGCGGCGUGCCUAACACAUGCAAGUCGUACGAGAAAGUCGGCUUCGGCUGAUGAGUAAAGUGGCGCACGGGUGAGUAACGCGUGGAUAAUCUGCCCUUGAGUGUGGAAUAACGUACCGAAAGGUGCGCUAAUACCGCAUAAUGCCUGGCAACAUAAGUUGUCCGGCCAAAGAAGGCCUCUGCUUGCAAGCUUUCGCUAAAGGAUGAGUCCGCGUACCAUUAGCUAGUUGGUGGGGUAACGGCCUACCAAGGCGACGAUGGUUAGCUGGUCUGAGAGGAUGAUCAGCCACACUGGAACUGAGACACGGUCCAGACUCCUACGGGAGGCAGCAGUGAGGAAUAUUGCGCAAUGGGGGCAACCCUGACGCAGCAACGCCGCGUGAGUGAGGAAGGUUUUCGGACUGUAAAGCUCUGUCGAGCGGGAAGAAGUGUACCAUGGCUAAUAUCCAUGAUAUUUGACGGUACCG